rnacentral:rRNA from 1 species
AUUGAACGCUGGCGGCGUGCUUAACACAUGCAAGUCGAGCGGCAGCGCGGGAGCAAUCCUGGCGGCGAGCGGCGAACGGGUGAGUAAUGCUUCGGAAUCUGCCCAGUAGUGGGGAAUAACCAGUCGAAAGACUGGCUAAUACCGCAUACGACCUAUGGGUGAAAGCAGGGGACCGCAAGGCCUUGCGCUAUUGGAUGAGCCGAAGUCGGAUUAGCUAGUUGGUGAGGUAACGGCUCACCAAGGCGACGAU